GCUAUAGAAGCCAAAACAUUAGGCAUUGGUCUUGUAAACCAAAAGAUGAAUUUUUUCCUGUAGCU
rnacentral:tRNA from 1 species